GGUGAACGCUGGCGGCGUGCCUAAUACAUGCGAGUCGAGCGAACGGACGAGAAGCUUGCUUUUCUGAUGUUAGCGGCGGACGGGUGAGUAACGCGUGGAUAACCUACCUAUAAGACUGGGAUAACUUCGGGAAACCGGAGCUAAUACCGGAUAAUAUUUUGAACCGCAUGGUUCAAAAGUGAAAGACGGUCUUGCUGUCACUUAUAGAUGGAUCCGCGCUGCAUUAGCUAGUUGGUAAGGUAACGGCUUACCAAGGCAACGAUGCAUAGCCGACCUGAGAGGGUGAUCGGCCACACUGGAACUGAGACACGGUCCAGACUCCUACGGGAGGCAGCAGUAGGGAAUCUUCCGCAAUGGGCGAAAGCCUGACGGAGCAACGCCGCGUGAGUGAUGAAGGUCUUCGGAUCGUAACUCUGUUAUUAGGGAAGAACAUAUGUGUAAGUAACUGUGCACAUCUUGACGGUACCUAAUCAGAAAGCCACGGCUAACUACGUG
rnacentral:rRNA from 1 species